AUGGAAAAGCGGUCAAAAAAGUAUUAUGAUCAGGCUGGCGGAAGAUAGAUGGAAGGAAUUGUGGGUCAACGAAGUCAAAACACCAUUACUCGAUAAAAGUCGCCGCAUGUUGCGGAAUGUGUGCCAUCGAAACUGGUUACUGUAUUUCUUUUCCGAGAAUUUUGCUUUGCCCCGCUAUCAACUUUU
ensembl:ncRNA T14F9.22 ncRNA